UACGUAGGGGGCUAGCGUUGUCCGGAAUCAUUGGGCGUAAAGAGCGCGUAGGCGGCCAGAUAAGUCCGGUGUGAAAGUCACAGGCUCAACCUGUGAAUGCCGCUGGAAACUGUCUGGCUAGAGUCCGGAAGGGGCGAGUGGAAUUCCAGGUGUAGCGGUGAAAUGCGUAGAUAUCUGGAGGAAUACCGGUGGCGAAGGCGGCAUCCUGGACCGACAUUGACGCUGAACGGCGAAAGCUAGGGGAGCAAACGGG
rnacentral:rRNA from 1 species